rnacentral:lncRNA from 1 species
CGCCAGCUCUACACUCCAUGGGAACUUCAGUCAGGUGGAAAGUUAUUCUCUUCUCUGCAGCUUGAAGUGUCGUAAGACCCCCUAAAGCCCCUAAAGCUCUUCCUAGUAACUGAGACAUUUAGGAUAAUCUUUACGGGAGUUUUGCAUGAGCUUCUGCUUUUUGUUGCACUUAGAAGGAGAGUUAAUGAUGAGCUUUCACUGGCUUCUCCUUUUUUUUUUUUUUUUUUUUUUUAAUCUCAGCCAAAAACCGCCUGUUUAAGUUAAGUACCACCUCCCUCCAGCCCUUGGGAAACCACUCAAGAGGGCUUUGCUUGGCUCUGUGUUCAUGACACAUAAUGAAAACAAUUUUACGCUGUGGAGGGAAGUAUUGGGCAAUUACUGAUGUAACAGCCACCUGCAGUAGCGAGCCCUGGCUGCAGCACUGCUCGGUUCAUGAAUAUUUUAUGGUGUGAUGUUAUUUUGAAUGGCUGGGGCAGGUGAAGGGGGCCGAGGGUGUAAUAAGUAGCUCUGCUGGAGGCUGUGUAGCUGCGCUGUUUCCCCGCGGAGCCCACAGUGUAACACCAAGAAGCAUCCUGACCCCCGCCUGCACGGAGGCGAGGGCAGCUGGGGCUGAGGCAAGGAGCUAUGACAAGUCACGUUUUGCAGAAAACUCCAACAAGGAAGAGAAAGAUGGCAUGGCAGGACUCCACUCAUCCUGAGAAUAUCAGUUUGCAUGCUCUCCUUAUCUUCACAAAAGGAAUACAGUAACGAUCAGAAGAAAGAAAUCCCAGCCAACCCACCAAUGCGAAGGAACAGUGAGAAAAGAAAAUAGCUAUCUGUAAGAUGCGUAGGGGCACUGCUAUGUCCAAGUCAGAUAUGGAUAAAACAUCAACAAAAAACUGGGACUAUUGUCCUUUUAAAUCAAAUGCUUAUGACU